rnacentral:rRNA from 1 species
UACGGAGGGUGCGAGCGUUGUCCGGAAUCACUGGGCGUAAAGGGCGCGUAGGUGGCGCGGUUAGUCGUCGGUGAAAGCUCAGGGCUCAACCCUGAGUCGGCCGGUGAUACUCCCGUGCUUGAGUGUGGUAGAGGCCAAUGGAAUUCCGGGUGUAGCGGUGGAAUGCGUAGAGAUCCGGAAGAACACCGGUGGCGAAGGCGGUUGGCUGGGCCACAACUGACACUGAUGCGCGACAGCGUGGGGAGCAAACAGG